UACGAAGGUCGCGAGCGUUGUUCGGAAUCACUGGGCGUAAAGGGAGCGUAGGCGGCGCGGUAAGUCAGAUGUGAAAUCCCGGGGCUCAACCCCGGAACUGCAUCCGAUACUGCCGUGCUAGAGGAUUGGAGAGGUAGCUGGAAUUCUUGGUGUAGCAGUGAAAUGCGUGGAUAUCAAGAGGAACACUCGUGGCGAAGGCGAGCUACUGGACAACUACUGACGCUGAGGCUCGAAGGCCAGGGUAGCGAAAGGG
rnacentral:rRNA from 1 species